AGUGAACGCUGGCGGUAGGCCUAAUACAUGCAAGUCGAACGGCAGCACAGUAAGAGUUUGCUCUUACGGGUGGCGAGUGGCGGACGGGUGAGGCAUACAUCAGCAUCUACUUUUUCGUGGGGGAUAACGUAGGGCCACUUACGCUACUACCGCAUACGACCUACGGGUGAAAGCAGUGGAUCUUCGCACCUUUCGCGUUUGAUUGAGCCGAUGUCGGAUUAGCUAGUUGGCUGGGUAAAGGCACACCAAGGCGACGAUCCGUAGCUGGUCUGAGAGGAUGAUCAGCCACACUGGAACUGAGACACGGUCCAGACUCCUACGGGAGGCAGCAGUGGGGAAUAUUGGACAAUGGGCGCAAGCCUGAUCCAGCCAUACCGCGUGAGUGAAGAAGGCCUUCGGGUUGUAAAGCCCUGUUGUUGGGAAAGAAAAGCAGCAGGUGAAUACCCCGCUGUUCUGACGGUACCCAAAGAAUAAGCACCGGCUAACUUCGUG
rnacentral:rRNA from 1 species